rnacentral:rRNA from 1 species
UACGAAGUGGGCUAGCGUUGCUCGGAAUUACUGGGCGUAAAGCGCACGUAGGCGGCUUUCUAAGUCGGGGGUGAAAUCCUGGAGCUCAACUCCAGAACUGCCUUCGAUACUGGAGAGCUCGAGUCCGGGAGAGGUGAGUGGAACUGCGAGUGUAGAGGUGAAAUUCGUAGAUAUUCGCAGGAACACCAGUGGCGAAGGCGGCUCACUGGCCCGGUACUGACGCUGAGGUGCGAAAGCGUGGGGAGCAAACAGG